rnacentral:rRNA from 1 species
CUUUUGCCCGGUGCACUCUUCUGCUGUCAGGCCAGCAUCAGUUCGGGCGGUCGGAUAAAGGCUUCGGGAAUGUAGCUCCUCUCGAGGAGUGUUAUAGCCCGUUGCGAAAUGCGGCCAGCCUGAACUGAGGUCCGCGCUUCGGCUAGGAUGCUGGCGUAAUGGUUGUAAGCGGCCCGUCUUGAAACACGGACCAAGGAGUCUAACAUCUGUGCGAGUGUUUGGGUGUCAAACCCGUACGCGUAAUGAAAGUGAACGGAGGCGGGAACCCCUCGGGGUGCACCGUCGACCGAUCCUGAUGUCUUCGGAUGGAUUUGAGUAAGAGCAUAGCUGUUGGGACCCGAAAGAUGGUGAACUAUGCCUGAAUAGGGUGAAGCCAGAGGAAACUCUGGUGGAGGCUCGCAGCGGUUCUGACGUGCAAAUCGAUCGUCAAAUUUGGGCAUAGGGGCGAAAGACUAAUCGAACUAUCUAGUAGCUGGUUCCUGCCGAAGUUUCCCUCAGGAUAGCAGUAACGCUUUCAGUUUUAUGAGGUAAAGCGAAUGAUUAGAGGCCUGGGGGUUGAAACAACCUUCACCUAUUCUCAAACUUUAAAUAUGUAAGAAGUCCUUGUUGCUUAGUUGAACGUGGACAUUUGAAUGCAUCGUUACUAGUGGGCCAUUUUUGGUAAGCAGAACUGGCGAUGCGGGAUGAACCGAACGCGGAGUUAAGGUGCCGGAAUGCACGCUCAUCAGACACCACAAAAGGUGUUAGUUCAUCUAG